AUUGAACGCUGGCGGCAGGCCUAACACAUGCAAGUCGAACGAGUGGCGGACGGGUGAGUAAUGUCUGGGAAACUGCCUGAUGGAGGGGGAUAACUACUGGAAACGGUAGCUAAUACCGCAUACCAUCAGAUGUGCCCAGAUGGGAUUAGCUUGUUGGGGGGGUAACGGCUCACCAAGGCGACGAUCCCUAGCUGGUCUGAGAGGAUGACCAGCAACACUGGAACUGAGACAGGGUCCAGACUACUACGGGAGGAAGCAGUGGGGAAUAGUGCACAAUGGGCGCAAGCCUGAGGCAGCCAUGCCGCGUGUAUGAAGAAGGGAGUCGGGUUGUAAAGUACUUUCAGCGGGGAGGCGUUACCCGCAGAAGAAGCAACGGCUAACUCCGUGGCAGCAGACGCGGUAAUUC
rnacentral:rRNA from 1 species